AUGGCGGUCGCCCACCAUCGCCGCGUUGUGCAGCACGCGGCCGCCCUCCCCUGUUUCUCGACGUCGACAACCGUCGUUGAUGCUCACUGUGGACACUCACAACGAAAAAAGUUGUCAAAAAGCAGCUAUAUGUCGUCGUCCCUGUUGAAUCAUUUGAAAACCUGGUUCCAGCAAAUUGAAGCUAUGGUUGUAGCAAAACUGUUGGUCCAUCAAAGAAUUAAACUUCGGGGGAAGCAUUUUUGGACAUUGGUUCCAGCAAAACAAAACUACGGUUGUAGUAAAAAAUCGCUGGUACAAACAAGAAGGAAUUCCGGUGGAAGCUUGAAUGAUGGUUCCAGCAAAACAAAAUUGUGGUUGUAG
rnacentral:rRNA from 1 species